rnacentral:rRNA from 1 species
GAUGAACGCUGGCGGCGUGCCUAAUACAUGCAAGUCGAGCGAACAGAUGAGGAGCUUGCUCCUCUGACGUUAGCGGCGGACGGGUGAGUAACACGUGGAUAACCUACCUAUAAGACUGGGAUAACUUCGGGAAACCGGAGCUAAUACCGGAUAAUAUAUUGAACCGCAUGGUUCAAUAGUGAAAGACGGUUUUGCUGUCACUUAUAGACGGAUCCGCGCCGCAUUAGCUAGUUGGUAAGGUAACGGCUUACCAAGGCAACGAUGCGUAGCCGACCUGAGAGGGUGAUCGGCCACACUGGAACUGAGGCACGGUCCAGACUCCUACGGGAGGCAGCAGUAGGGAAUCUUCCGCAAUGGGCGAAAGCCUGACGGAGCAACGCCGCGUGAGUGAUGAAGGUCUUCGGAUCGUAAAACUCUGUUAUUAGGGAAGAACAAAUGUGUAAGUAACUAUGCACGUCUUGACGGUACCUAAUCAGAAAGCCACGGCUAACUACGUG